rnacentral:rRNA from 1 species
GACGAACGCUGGCGGCGUGCUUAACACAUGCAAGUCGAACGCUGAAGACCUGGCUUUUGUUGGGUUGGAUGAGUGGCGAACGGGUGAGUAACACGUGAGUAACCUGCCCUCUUCUUUGGGAUAACGCCCGGAAACGGGUGCUAAUACUGGAUAUUCACUGAUCUUCGCAUGGGGGUUGGUGGAAAGGUUUGUUCUGGUGGGGGAUGGGCUCGCGGCCUAUCAGCUUGUUGGUGGGGUGAUGGCCUACCAAGGCUUUGACGGGUAGCCGGCCUGAGAGGGUGACCGGUCACAUUGGGACUGAGAUACGGCCCAGACUCAUACGGGAGGCAGCAGUGGGGAAUAUUGCACAAUGGGCGAAAGCAUGAUGCAGCGACGCCGCGUGAGGGAUGGAGGCCUUCGGGGUGUAAACCUCUUUCGCUCAUGGUCAAGCCGCAACUGUGGGUUGUGGUGAGGGUAGUGGGUAAAGAAGCGCCGGCUAACUACGUG